CCUACGGGCGGCAGCAGUGGGGAAUAUUGCACAAUGGGCGCAAGCCUGAUGCAGCCAUGCCGCGUGUGUGAAGAAGGCCUUCGGGUUGUAAAGCACUUUCAGCGGGGAGGAAGGCGUUAAGGUUAAUAACCUUGGCGAUUGACGUUACCCGCAGGAGAAGCAUCGGCUAACUCCGUGCCAGCAGCCGCGGUAAUACGGAGGGUGCAAGCGUUAAUCGGAAUUACUGGGCGUAAAGCGCACGCAGGCGGUCUGUCAAGUCGGAUGUGAAAUCCCCGGGCUCAACCUGGGAACUGCAUUCGAAACUGGCAGGCUAGAGUCUUGUAGAGGGGGGUAGAAUUCCAGGUGUAGCGGUGAAAUGCGUAGAGAUCUGGAGGAAUACCGGUGGCGAAGGCGGCCCCCUGGACAAAGACUGACGCUCAGGUGCGAAAGCGUGGGGAGCAAACAGGAUUAGAUACCCCAGUAGUC
rnacentral:rRNA from 1 species